AUCCCUCAUGUGAGUGUCUGGUGCCCCAUGGUGAUCAGAAGAGGGUACCAAAUCCCUUGGAACUGGAGUUACAGACCCUUGUGAACUGAAAUGUAGCUGCUAGGAAUUAAGCCUGGGUCCUCUGGAAGAUCAAGUGCUCUAACCACUGGGAAAACUCUCCAGUCCCAACAUUUCUUUUUUGAGACAGGACCUCAUAUAGCCUCAGAGUAGCCUUAAAUCCACUGUAGUUGUAGUGAUCCUCUUGUUUCUACCUUGCCUGUGGUGGCAUUACAGGUGUUCCCUACUGUCCCUGGUUUUGGAUCCAGAACUUUACCAACUGAGCUAUAUCCCUAGGCCUAUUGAUAACAUUUCUAAUUAUGGUCUGGGAGAGUAAAAUCCUAUUUUUUUCUAUAACUUGUCUGAUGAUAAAAUAUUUAGGGAUUAAUUACAGAAAAAUAUAAAGGGUAAAAAAAACUUGCUACUUCAGGGCAUGAAGACAGAUUCAAGACGUCUUCGGAGAUAAAAUUGAGAGGCUUGGGUGCCUGGGUUUGUGUGUAGGGGCCACACUCUGAGUUGGUUUCGUUGCUGAAAAGAUGAGACUAUUACUCAUUGAAUUGCUCUGUACUCCAGGAAAGUAAAAUUCAGUGGAGAUUUCUGAGAAGCCUGUUGACCAGUAUACUACGUUGUAUUUACUUGAGCAAAAUUUAAUGACCUGAGGUAAAUUGUGUGAGUAAGUCUUUAUCAGAAGGCAAGAGAAUGGGCAUCUGUUGUCUUUGCCCACUUUGUUUUAAGGUUGUGCAUAAAGAAUCCUAACCAUCGUGGUUUACAAACCAAAGGACUAGAUUGUAACUCACUAUGGCCAAAAGGAAGGUCAAAGUUCACACAGUUAGAUGUUUUAGUUUUCUGUUAUUGCUGUUAUAACACAAUUAAUCAAAACAUCCUGCUAUAGUUCAGAGGUAAGGUGUUUGUCUCACAUGCACAAAGCCAUAGGUUCAAUUCCAGCUCCACUUAAACCAAACCAAACCAAACUGAACCAAACCAAACCAAAACCAACCAAACAAAACCUAAUGAUGAAAAAUAACACAGACAUGUCAUCCCACAGUUCUGAAUACCAGAAAAUCUGAAAUCAAGAUGGCGGCAGGGUUGUAUUCCUUUGGAAGGCUCUAGGAGAAAAUGUGUUUCCUUGACUUUUCCAGUGUCUCCUAGAGGAUGUCUCCAUUCCUCAGUUCCCUCUAGUCUCCAUGGUUUUCAAGGCAAGCAUCGGAGCAUCUUCAAAUCUCCUUAGUCUUCAGCUUCUAUUGUCAUGUCUUCUCUGAUUGUGAGAUUCCUGUCUUCCUUUUUUGAGGAAUGACACCGAGUCUACCUGGAUAUUCUAGUUGGUCCUUCCGGUCCUUCCAUGUUACCAUCCUUCAUUACGUCAGUAUAUUCUUUUUCAUUCUCUGUGUUAUUCAUCUUUCUGGUUACAAAAUACUUGAGAUACUCAUUUUAAAAACAGGACAGUUCUAUUUUGGCUUAUUGAUUUUCAAAUUUCAGUCCAUAGGUGCAUGGGUUAAUUACUUUGGAAUAAUGUGUAUGAGCAGCACACCCCAGUGGGAAGAAAUGCAGAUCAUCUACCCAAAGGACCCACUUCUCAUUAGACUCUACCUCUUCCAGGUUCUACUUCUCAAUAGUGACAUAGGCUGGGGACAAAGCUUUUAGGAUACAGGGCCUUGGUGGUGGUGGAUUCUAUGUGAAAAGUAUAAUUGUAUCAUGUAAAGUGAUGUAUUCAUGGGAGGAGGUUUCAGAAGGGAACCUUCAGUUUUGUGAGGAGAUAUUAUUUUGCCUGACUCAAAUGGCCUUGUCUUGUUCUUUAUUUUUAGGGUCUCUAACCCAGAAGGGCAGGAACAAGAGGUUGACAUUCAUCCUAACUUUCUGUCUUCUCCUUCCAAAGGGGCAAAGGUUUCCGGGGGGACUCACUUCACCACUGAGGCACAGUAUUCAUAGAUGCCUUGGGGUGUAGGAACUUGGGACUUAUUUUGGUGAGUCUUGUCAUUCAGCAAGAGAUUUUUUUUUUUCAUUAGCUGAAGUUUGCUGCUAUGUCAUGGCAUGUUGGUGCAGGACACUGACAUGCCAGUAAAAAGAGAAUAAUAUAUAAAACAGGAAUUAGGGUUAUCGUUUUUGGGCUCCUCACAUUAGGUGUUCUGUUCUUGGGAGUAGGACAAUCCACCACAGUUAUGUCUAAGCCACUGCUUGUCAAAGCUUUGGUAAUAUUAAUUACUUUUUAAAUUUUUUGAAUUUUAUGUUCAAUUUAUAUAGUUUAAAUAAUCAUUUUCUAUAACACAUUUUCUAUAAAUAGACUCUAAGGGAAAAAUGAGCAGAUCUGAGAAUUUUAUCUAAAGAAAUAAUCUGACUUCUAAGUACAGAACCUUUUUUUAAAUAUAAAGAUGACUAAUAAUGGUACAUUAUUAUUGCUAUUAUUACUACUGUAUUAUUAUUAUUAUUAUUAUUAUUAUUAUUAUUUUACCUCUGUGGCCAUGCCAGCUGAAAGAACUAAAUGUGUUUGUACUGGGAUAUAGUCCCACAAGGCAGAAUUUCUUGACUGGUCAAGUAAAAAAGACAUGAGGACAGAGGUCUUUUUGGUGGAAUAAUUAAAUCAUUUUAUCUGCUUGAAGGAACAAGGCUGGGCCAGAGGACAGGUUCCAGCCAAAGCACCAAGACCUUGAUUUUGGAAAUAAAUAUGUCCUUUUAGAGACAGAUGGUAUUAGAGUUCUCUUAAUAUGGUAUCAAGAAACUUAGAAACUGGCUUGAUACAGAAAACAAAGAAUCGGAGGAACAGAAUUGGCCAGGAAACAGUGCCAGGAGUCAUUGUUUCCCCUUCGAAGAGUAACACUCCACAGUUAAUUUCAGUUUUAAGGUGUGCGCUUGUUUCAUGCAUGCGUUCAGUCAACAGUUAAUUACUACUUGCUGUGUGUCAAUCACUGUGAUGGGUGGCUGAUUUGUAAGAAAAUAUACAAUUUAUAGGGAAACCAACUAUCACUUUACACAUGAAUUCUGUGCUUAGCAGUUAAGUAAGAGUAAAGUAUUUAGACUACAUUUUAUGACUACACUUCCAAAAAUUGUAAAUGAUUAAAAGGAAGUGGUAAAGAUUGCCUCCCUCAGGAGAUUUCACACAUACCGCUUUUUGCCAAUAGUCACCUUUGAUGUGAUUUUAAGGAUUCAUGCUUCUCUCAGAUAGCAAAUUAUCCUUUUAUUUGCUUUGAAGGUGGAGUUGUGGACAUAGAGGUGAGUGGUUCAGAGCCACUGGAUUUGGUGACUAUGUUUGAAGAAGUUACCUCUUUGAAAAGCCAAACAGCCCAGCAUUAUUCUGUGCCUUCAUGGCACAGCCUGCCUGAGAGGCCUGGCAACGAACAGUUGUCUCCGGAAGAACUGCAGCUAUGGUUUUUCUUGAACUGACAGAAAUGUUUGUCACAGAAGUUGCUAAGUGGCAUGACUUAAUCCUCUUGCUAGAAAAGGAAUGUGUUUGUUACAACCAAUUUAUGAUAAUCCUAGCCGAUUUGAUUAGCUUACAGAGAGGCCAGGGAGGUUGAAGCGCUUACUUACCGCAGACUCACUUAACCCUCCCUCCAGAAGGGUCAGAGCUGUUUCGUAACUCCGUUGUCAGCCCCAUUCUGAAGAUGAAAAGAUUGAGUAAAAGAGAGGCUAAGCAUUGGCAGAAGGUCACAAAACCAGUAAGUGGCAGGGUGGCAGGGUCAGGCACAAAAUACAGUUAACAUGGUUCCAUUUGUUUGCCUUUCAUAAACGAAACCAAUAACCCCGAUGUUAUUAUUAAAACGGAGAACCUUGCUGGUUUGUCCCAGUCCAUCCUACCCUUUGCUUGAUUUUCUGGCUCUUCUGGUUUGGAUGAUGGGUUUGUAAUUGCUUCUCCUGGUGCAAGAGAACUUUUCGCAGAUCUUUGUGGUACUUAAUUGCAAAAGAAUAUUCUGAAUACACCCACUUAAAGCGAACACCGACUGUAUUAACCAAGAGAGAUUUGAUUCUGGCCUGCAAUGACCAGUAGCUCUCCAGCGAUGGGUAUAAAAAGUGCGGCGACUAGGGGGCACCAAGAAAGCUUCCUUAUCCAGGAAUUCAGGCAGGCACGCUACUCAUUUUCUCUGCCGGGUAGUGGUGGAAGCUAGGUGGCCCAAAGGGGUGUAUGGGGGACUUGAGUCUAUCGGUUUCUGUGAACCUCCCAGUUCCAGGUCAAGCGUCUUUUGUUCAAGGCACAGAAAGGCUCUUCGCAAUCUUGACCAGUGUGCUGUGCGCUACCAUGCAGAGCUGGACCCUUGAGACGUAGGAGGAGCUUAGGCACAUCCUUGGCCGACCUCUGGGUGUCAGGGACAUCACCCUGGAGUGAGAGGAGGGGAGAGAGGAAGGGGCCUGGAAGUGUGCGGGUUUGAGCUUUUCCCGAGCUCCCGUCACCCCAGUUCUGACCUCCUCCGCCUGGCUCCCUUUGUCGCUGACGCCCACCUGGGAGCCCCGGACUGCUGUGGCCGUGGGUGUCGGCUCCCCAGGCCUCAUGGGUGGCUGCGUGUGGAGUUCUCCGGGUCCCUAGUCUUCCCUCCCCCCCGCGCCGUCCUCUGUCCCUUGGUGCCAGACAGGCUGGUUUUCUGCCCUUUGGGUAGGCGCGCGCUGGUGGGUUUGGCCUGCGCGGCGACGGCGGCGGCGGCGGCGGCGGCGGGGGAGCGAGUGAGCGAGCGCAAGGGGCGGGCGCGAGUGCUUGUGAGUCACCGGUACCUGGAGCGCUAGCGACGCAGAGCCAGCGGCGCACAGCCCAAGCCGGAGCCUAGUGCCAGCGUCGCCGAGCGCGGCCUGCCCCCUUGCACCUCUCCAGGCCAGUUUGACAGCGCCUGAAGCCCUUCUCCCUGCCCCGAGGUGGCGCGGGGCUCUUCGGGGGAUGUCACAGCGGCUCCUCGGAGCCCCUAGUUCCCGCUGCAGCAACAGCCACCGCCCGCGGGAACCGCGACAAUGAAUCCCCAGUGCGCCCGCUGCGGAAAAGUGGUGUAUCCCACAGAGAAAGUCAACUGUCUAGAUAAGUAUUGGCAUAAAGGAUGUUUCCACUGCGAGGUCUGCAAGAUGGCUCUCAACAUGAACAACUACAAAGGCUAUGAAAAGAAGCCCUAUUGCAAUGCACACUACCCAAAGCAGUCCUUCACCACAGUGGCGGAUACACCUGAAAACCUUCGCCUGAAGCAGCAAAGUGAACUGCAGAGCCAGGUCAAGUACAAAAGAGAUUUUGAAGAAAGCAAAGGCAGGGGCUUCAGCAUUGUCACAGAUACUCCUGAGCUGCAGAGGCUGAAGAGGACCCAGGAGCAGAUCAGUAAUGUAGGUGCCCUUUUACUUGAUGGAGAGGUGGCCCUGGAGUGUGUCUCUGGGUAGGAAUGUGAGACUGAAUGUGUGUGAAGCAUAGCUGUUGCUGAGUGUGUCCAGUCUCCUCACAACGCAUGCCAGCGUCACCUGUCAAAUCCCAGGCCUCUGAUCUCGUCACUUAUCUAUAGCCUACCGUCUAUAACAGUAUCUUCUUCGUAUAUUUUGAAUAUCUCCCAGCCUUCAUAUUUGGACAACAUUAAAUGUUUGUAAUGAAAAAAUUCUGAUAGUUUUUCACCAUGUGGAUAACUAUAAAGUUAACAUAUAGCUUGAGUAUAGUUUAAAAAAAAAAGAAAGAAAAGGUCUUUUCUAUUGUGUACAUACUUUGUAUAUCUGUUAAUCAUAUGUUACAUCUAAUUUUAGGAAUAAACAUUUGUUUAUGUAGUUGUUUUCUUCUUGAAAACUACAUCGUUUUAGUAAUAUAUUUUCUGGAGUAGCUAAAACUGGGCCUGGAAGGAGUCUGAGGCACAUUAGGACGUGACUCUCGCACUUGCUAAAAGGGGAUAUGCGUCCAUCCUUGACUUUUGUAAUUCAUAUGUGGGAUUAUAUUUCUUCUAAUGUAUUGCAUUAAAUAUGUCAAAAUGCAUUUUUAUGCAAAGGAGUAGGUUUAAUGUUAGAUACCCAGAAUGGAAACUAAAAACUGUGCAUGGUAUAGCAAACAUGCAAAGCUACAACCACCACCAUGAGAUUGUGGAUGUCACUGUCACAAGUAUUACAAAUAGACACACACAUACACACACACACACACACACACACACACACACACACAGAGUAUACAGAUGCUAUAAGUAAUAUAGCCCUAAUUUCUAGGAAAUGUUUAUCAUUAGCAGAUGGAUUUAAAUUUACCAAUAGUUUUUCACCAUGUGGAUAACUAUAUAAAGUUAACAUAUAGCUUGAGUAUAGUUUAAAAAAAAAAGAAAGAAAAGGUCUUUUCUAUUGUGUACAUACUUUGUAUAUUUGUUAAUCAUAUGUUGCAUCUAAUUUUAGGAAUAAACAUUUGUUUAUGUUUAUUCCUAAAUAACAUGACUAGGUCAUGGUCAUAAGCUACAGCAUAUAUAUGUAAAUCUACACACACACACACACUAUUUAUAGAUAGAGUUUAGCAUCUUAUUUUUUAAAAGUUCAGGGUCAGAACUAUUUGGUGUUUAAAAUGUUAUCUCAAGGCCAGGAAAAGCCCCCCCCUCUUUUUUUUUUAUCACAUUCUCUAUGAUUUACCCAUUGUUUGGUCUUUAUGUGAACAUUUUCUACUAGAGGUUUGUUUUGUUGUUGUUGUUGUUGUUGUUUUUUUCCUUCAUUUAAAGAGACAGAGUGGACUUUUAGGAGCUGAUGAUAGCCACCCUGUCCCAUGGUUUUUCUUAAGACUUUUUGGACUGCCGAUAAUGAGUAAUAAAGAUAAUUAUCUUCAUUCUCCCCGUUCAUUCUCCCCUGAAAUCAAAAACCCAUUCUUCCUUUAAAAGUACAAACUGGACAUGCAUUUCAAUGACAGUUCUGCUCAGAGUUUUAAAAUGUUAUGCCAACUUCAGUUCUCUCUCAAAUGCUCAACUAGCAUAGAAGUUUAUUUCUGAAAGAACUAAGCAACUCUUCUUAAGACCACCAUGUGAUGGAUAACAGGAGGAUUAUAGCUCACUCAGAGGUAAGCCUUUUCAUUUAUGUUCAAAUUAAGUCAGUGUUCAUAAGUAAUCAGAAAAUAACUCACCUUCUCACGAAACUUUAUCAUUAGCAGGAGUAUACUUUAUAUUCAAUGCCAGAGGUCGUUUGCAGAUCCAUUCUUAACUAUGCCAAACCCCUUAUAACGCAGGUGGAAGGAAGGUAUCACGUGAAGAGGAAAGAGAAAGAAAGCAAUGAGAGAAUGCCAGGCUUUCUGAGAUGGAUGGAAAUGAGACUGACUGUAACCAUGUUCAGCUGCUGACAGUGUAAAAUUGAGCUGUAUGGUGGACAGAAGACAAGCAGUCAAGAGAAAUCCCCAAAGCCCAGCGAAGAACCAUUAAGAACUCACAGCAAGAUUGAAGAUGAGAAGAAAUCCUGCUUAAGCCUCAGGCACGCCAUUCACUAUGGAAACAGACAUCACCCAAAGCAACAUGAGCAUUGUCAUCUGAAGUGGAAGCUAAGAGGUUCAUCUUGGACAGCGUUGGGAUAUUUUUUCCUAUGUACUUCUGAAGGGUAAAGAUGAAGGUACCUGUAUCCGGGGAUGUAAAAGAGGAAACUGAGGAGGAAAAUGUGGAGCAGGAAGAAAACCAGGAAGCCAAGGUGUCUCUGAAACCUGUUAUUGAAGACCUCAGCAUGGAACUGGCCAGAAAGUGCACCGAGCUCAUUAGUGACAUCCAUUAUAAAGAAGAGUACAAAAAGUCUAAGGACAAGUGUACGUUUGUGACUGAUACCCCUAUGCUAAACCAUGUAAAAAAUAUUGGUGCUUUUAUUUCUGAGGCAAAAUACAAAGGUACCAUUAAGGCUGAUCUUUCCAAUUGUCUGUAUAAGGACAUGCCUGCCACCAUCGACAGUGUCUUUGCAAGAGAAGUAUCCCAGCUUCAGAGUGAGGUUGCCUACAAGCAGAAGCACGAGGCUGAGAAAGGCUUCUCCGAUUACACCCACAUGAAGGAACCACCGGAGGUCAGACGUGCCAUGGAGGUCAACAGACACCAGAGUAAUAUUUCUUACAGAAAAGAUAUGCAAGGCACCCACACGUAUACAGCGGAGCUGGACAGACCGGAUAUCAAGAAGGCAACUCAGAUCUCCAAGAUCAUAAGCGAUGCAGAAUACAAGAAAGGGCAAGGCAUAGUGAAUAAAGAACCUUCUGUAAUUGGAAGACCAGAUUUUGAACAUGCUGUGGGAGCUUCUAAACUUUCUAGUCAGGUUAAAUAUAAAGAAAAAUUUGAUAAUGAAAUGAAGGAAAAAAGCCACCAUUACAACCCUCUGGGAAGUGCGUUUUUUAGGCAACACCAGUUCGCUGCUGUCCUGGCCAGUGAUUGGGAAUAUAAAAGGGAUUUUGAAGAAAACAAAGGAUUGUAUCACUUUGAUGCGGAGGCCCCUGAACACCUGCACCAUAAAGGAAACGCCACCCUCCAGAGUCAGGUAAAAUACAGAGAAGAAUAUGAGAAAAAUAAGGGAAAGUCCAUGCUUGAGUUUGUUGAGACACCAUCAUAUCAGUCUUCAAAGGAAGCUCAGAAGAUGCAGAGUGAGAAAGUUUACAAAGAAGAUUUUGAGAAGGAAAUUAAAGGAAGGUCCUCACUGGAUUUAGACAAGACACCUGCAUUUCUACAUGUGAAGCAUAUCACCAACCUGAUGAGGGAGAAAGAAUAUAAAAAAGAUCUGGAAAAUGAAAUCAAAGGGAAAGGAAUGGAGCUCAGUUCAGAAGUUCUUGAUAUUCAGAGAGCAAAGCGAGCAUCUGAAAUGGCCAGCGAGAAAGAAUACAAAAAGGAUCUGGAGUUGGAAAUUAAAGGCAAGGGAAUGCAAAUUGACACCGAUACCCUUGAAAUACAACGUGCCAAAAGAGCUGCCAAGAUAGCCAGCGCGAAAGACUACAAAAGAGAUCUGGAGACAGAAAUUAAAGGAAAAGGGAUGCAAGUCAGCACAGACACUCUGGAUGUCCAGAGAGCUAAGAGGGCAUCCGAGAUGGCCAGCCAGAAGCAAUAUAAGAAAGACUUGGAGAAUGAAAUUAAGGGGAGAGGAAUGCAAGUGAACAUGGAUAUCCCAGAUAUGCUUCGAGCCAAGAGGGCAUCUGAAAUCUACAGCCAGAGAAAGUAUAAAGAUGAAGCUGAGAAAAUGCUUUCCAACUACUCCACUGUGGCAGUCACUCCCGAGAUUCAGAGAAUCAAGACGACACAGCAAAAUAUUAGCAAUGUAUCUUAUAAGGAAGAAGUGGGAGCUGGCACAGCCGUAAGGAAUACCCCAGAGAUUGAACGAGUGAAGAAAAACCAGCACAAUAUUAGCUCAUUCCAGUAUAAAGAGCAAACCUAUAAGGCCACUCCUGUAACCAUGACCCCAGAGAUAGAGAGAGUGAAGAGGAACCAGGAACAGCUGAGUGCGGUUUAUUAUAAAGGUCAACUGGGAAGGGCUACAGCUUUGAGUGUAACUCCUGAAAUGGAAAGAGUAAAGAAGAAUCAAGAAAAUAUCAGCUCGGUGAAAUACACUCAGGACCAUAAACAAAUGAAAGGUAGACCGUGUCUGAUCUUAGAUACACCGGCUUUGAGACAUGUUAAAGAAGCACAAAAUAAUGUUUCCAUGGUAGGAUGCAGCGGAUCACUGUCUCCAUGACUAAAACAUACUAAGGAACGGCAAGACCUGUAUUUGGAUGGCAUUCACUCACUACUUAUCUGAAUAACUAACAAAGCAUGGGAAUUUGAAUAAGCCCUUGGGGCACAGUGUUAUAGUUACACUGAAAUGUAAUGAAAACAUUUUCUCUAAUAAAAUAAUUUUCCCUCAAUGAUUUUUGGUGUGUUCUUAUUUCUAACUUGACUACCAUAAAUGCAUUUUGUGAAUGACAUUUACCUAGACUUUGUUUUCAUUUAAUUUUAAGACAUACUUUGUUAUAUUUGAAAGAAUAUUUUUAGUGUGUUUCAAGAACAGUUUCAUGUAAUUUUUUUACCAUGAAGUUUACCAAUUUAAAAUGUUUAAUAUAAGUUAAUAUAAUUUAGAGGAUUGUUUUUUGUAACUAUAUAUAAAUUUUAUAGAACAUAUAGAACUCUUGUCAUCUAAUUUUAAAUACCACUGUUGUGUUGAUGAAUUGUGCUUAAAUAACAUUACUACUGUAUAUUGAAGAUGAAAAGAUUGGCAAUCGAUCUGUAGUCAAAUUGUGUGUUUUAAGAAGUAGCAAAUGUUUUAAAGUAAUUGUCUUUUAUACCUCACUGAUAGGUAAUUUACAUAUCAUUUGAUCAUAUUAUUUACAGUAUUUAAAAAUUUAAAAUUAUCAGCACUUGAUUUCUGACACUGUUUUGGACUCUUUGAGGAAAUUAUAUUAUAUCACAGUAUAUUAUAUUUACUAUAUGUGAUAAUCCAGAUAUAUUUUAUGUGACCUAUUAUUUUAUAAGCAUUUUGUGAGAUAAUUAGAAAUUACAGUUGGGAUUAAGGAUAAUUUCUUUUGCAGGUCAAAUACCAUGAAGAUUUUGAGAAGACAAAGGGAAGAGGCUUCACUCCCGUUGUGGAUGAUCCUGUGACUGAACGGGUGAGGAAGAGCACCCAGGUUGUGAGCGAUGCUGCCUAUAAAGGGGUCCAGCCACAUGUUGUGGAGAUGGACAGAAGACCUGGGAUCAUUGUUGCACCUGUCCUUCCUGGAGCUUACCAGCAGAGCCAUUCCCAAGGCUAUGGGUACAUGCAUCAGACCAGCGUGUCGUCCAUGAGGUCAAUGCAGCCUCCAGCACAUCUAAGGACCUACCGCGCCAUGUACGAUUAUAGCGCCCAGGAUGAAGAUGAGGUCUCCUUCCGAGAUGGUGACUACAUUGUCAACGUGCAGCCCAUUGAUGAUGGCUGGAUGUAUGGCACCGUGCAGAGAACCGGGAGAACGGGCAUGCUCCCAGCAAAUUACAUUGAGUUUGUGAAUUAAUUCUUUCUCCUUGCCCUUCGAGCUUUAUUAUGAUGUAUUCCAAACUCAAUCUUUUUAAAAGAUAGAUGAUACUUUUCAGAUAACUUGGCAAUUAUUUUACAAUAAUGUAUCCUUACUUUGACAAUUAGACACACAGGUACCAGGAAAAAAGGAAUUGACUUUCAGGCUGGAAAUGGCAGCAUCCAUAGUAAUUCCUGUAAACAAAACCAUUAGGUCUGGAGACCUGGUGCUGCUAAUUGUGUUUGUGGUUUCAUUCAAUUGGCUAUCCAACCCUUCUGGGAAAUGUAUUUUUGUAGACUUUAAUAGAGAUGUUGAUUGUCCCUUAAGUGUAACAAAUGUAUGAAAUUUCUUAGCUGUCACUUGGAAUCAUCCAUAGCUAAUUCUCAUAGUCCAGCAACACAUCCAAUAAUUUAAAAACUGUUCAGCUUUUAAAUCAUUGGAUAAUUUUCAAUUCAAGGGAGGAUCACCUAAUAUAAUAAAUAAAUGGAAACAGUGGCAGAAUGGGUCUGGUUAAAAUCAUAUUGACUGUAGCCUUAGGGAGUCGGCAGGGAACUUAGCCUUUCCCUAGGCUGAGCGGGAGCUAUUUAGUUCUCAUGUGCUUCAUGGUGUAGCCUAUCUCCAUUUAUGUUCUGUGGAGCAGUGCAUCUGCUCAGGUCCCCAGAAUGUCAGGACCAGGUAACUUCCCAGCUUCUCUGCAAAGGGCAAAGUCUAAUGUCAUCUGUACUAUUUCACCAGUAGCCUCUAUCCUGUUGCAUGUCUGUGGGCGUGAGCUUCUGUAACAUGGCAACAUCUGUAACAGCUGCUAGCCCAUCCUUGUUACUAAAGUCAACCGUAUGGCCACUCUCUCCCUGCCCUUCUUCUAGUUGCCCGCUCAUUGGAAAACAUUUUGAAAAGUUGCUUGAGGCUUUCUUGCUGCAUUACACUCUAGUUUUGAAAGACUCACACCUUAGGAACUACAUAUAUACUCUAGUAAAUAGGAGACUUAUGUAUUUACUGGAUAGCUUUCACUCACUUAAUGCCACCAUUGAUUUAAAAGUGGAGUGAAUUGAACAGCCUCGACCGUAAGCGGAAAUGGAGUAUAAAGUAGCUGAAAACCAAAAACACAGAACAGCAAAGGUUUGCUCACAGUUAGACAAUCUGGUCUUAUACUUUGGUAAUCAGUCUUCAGAUGCUGGGAUAGAAAUCUGGCCAUUAAAUAUGUUCAUAAAAAGGCUUCCCUUUUCCAUUCCCGUUUUUGUUUUCUAAGUCACCUUCACGAUUAGAUUAAAAAAAGUCAUGAGUGAUUUUUUGGUGGGGAGGGAUGUCCAACAGAUAAUCCACUAAGGAAGAAAUCAGUGUCCGGUUUUGAGUAGUUUGCAGGACUCACACACUUGUGAGUAAACUUGUCUGGAAUCUGCAGUUGAAGUCACCUGGAUGUUGACAUUUAUUGCAACUCUGUUUUUUCAUAGUGCCUCUGACUGUGACUUGCAGCUUGGUGGCAUUCUUGUAAGCUCUGAAAAUGAAGAGAGUAAAGUCACAAAAAUAUAAGAGGAUACUGCGACUGUGGGAAUAUCUACUUUACACAAUAUGCUUAAAGAAAUAAACAAAGCAUCCACAACAAAAACCAUUCAAAUGAAAUGUUUAUAAGGCCAAAGUCCAAAGUGGGUUCAUGUAAAUCUUUAGAAAGUGAGCCCAUACUUUUGAAAAAUAUUAGUUUUCUUAGAUUUGCUUUAAGGAAAAGUUUUGUCACACUAAGCUGUAUUUCUGUGACACAGAUAGAAAAUUGAAAAGGAAAAUUCUGCAGAUAACUAGAGAUUUUUCUGGAGAGGUUGUUUUUAUAGACUCAUAAGUAAGUAGCUUACCUAAUCUUCACGUAAUUUAAGUAACCAAUCAUUAUUAACUUUCCUAACUGCUUUCAUGUCUUGAACACACACCUACAAAGAUAAACUGCACUUGCAAUAAUUUGCAAAAAUCUGUACCCGAAAAACAAGGGUGAUAAGUUGCUUCAUUUAUGUGAUAUGUCUUUUAUGCUUCCAGAGGCAGACCAUUUGUGUGUGUGUGUGUGUGUGUGUGUGUGUGUGUGUGUUUGUGACUAUUUUUCAAAAGUAGUCAAAAUUAAAAUGUUAGGAUAAAUGCAGGGCAGGUAUGAUUUUGAUCAUAGUAUAUGUGUAGGAAUCUCAACAGAAGCCAACUUUGAAAUGAUGCUUAACAUUUGCUUGUCCCCACAAAGUAGUGACUCUAUGGUCCAUGUUUUUGCCACUCAUUAAUUUCAAAGUCAGACUUGAUGAGUGUGAGAGUCAGUACAUAUUUAGGAGAUAGCCGUUCUAAAUAUUGAGCUUUGCAUAAUGUUUGCUUAGCAAGAUAUUUCUGUUUCAAGUCUUUCAGAAUUAAGAUAUGAUCUGGAGCUGGCAGCUGUGGCUCAUACCUUUAAUCCCAGCACUCGGGAGGCAGAGGCAGGCAGAUUUCUGAGUUCGAGGCCAGCCAGGUCUACAGAGUGAGUUCCAGGACAGCCAGUUUUCCAUACAGACCAAGGCAGAGCAAUAUAUGGCAUGCUUUCGAGAUUAUGCGUCGAGCCUAGAUGUGUCAUAGCCAGGUGCCAUCUUUUGCAGCAUCUUUUUAAGAAAUACUAUAUUCUUAGCACCUUUUUCGCUUUCCACAUGCCUCCCUCCCACGUGCAGUUUGGCAGUCAAUAUGUCACAUGUAACAUUGACAGCAAUAGAAGAAUUUAAGAACAAGCCCCUUAGAAAUUGGAGUCAAAGGAGACUAAAUGCCAAGCACAGAGGGCACGCACCUCUUCCUAUCUGAUGGAUUCCAAGCUUGCCAGGAGCACAAGAAGGUACUUGAUACACUUCUCAAAGUCUCUGAAAACAAAUGCCUUUGGUUCAUAGUCCUCUUGAGAAAAGUUUAGAAACUUGAUAUAAUGCUUUUGCUAUAAGCUUUUGUAGUAGAUUUAAGAAAAAAAGCAUUUGUUAUCUAGAAAGCUUUUUCUUUCUAGCCUGUGACAAAAUAUCUUCCUAUCUUCAUUUUGCUUGCACAUCUGCAGCACAGCCCAGUUUGCAACUUUGAUCUGGUUUUCAUUUUCCAUGGAGGCUCUGCCUCUUCCCAUGUCUCCCAGCCUCCACACAGCACCCAGGAAUGUCUAAGCACAAUUUCUACAAGCAUCUUGUAAGGGGGAUGGAUGAGAUUAGUCCAGUUUCUCUCUUGCUACUAGGUCCUUUGCUUGAAGAUGAUGAAGAUGUUUUUAGUUAGGGAUCUUCUCUCUGCUGGAGGCCUAUAACACUAUAGGAAUUAGGGGAAAACCUUUUCCAUAAUUGAGAGCAAGUGACACACCUACUUUUCAGGUUCAUCCACCUCCAGUGGAAUGUUUUCAGUCAAAUGAGAAAGAAAAUAAUUGAUCUUUAAUAAUACAGCCCUAUAUUCAGUAGAUGCAGUUUAUACUAAGGUUACAAUAUAAAUAUAUACAAAAUAGGUGCCUUUUUGAUUAUGCUUGUUUAUCAUUAUGGUCUUAGAAAGGAAACCAAGCAAGCAAGCAAGCUUCUGCAUAUUCUAUAGUAAUAUUUUAUGAUACAUGAUCAAUAUUUUUGUGGUGAGAAGUGGGAUACCCUUGAAAGAAAGAUACUACAGGUGGUAGCUAGUUGUAUUUUCCUUCUAAAGGUUUAUAAUACUAGAAAAUGCUGACUUAUUCAAUUUUCUGAGAAGUUUUUUUGUGGAUUUAUAUAUAGUUGAGAUAUAUAGGCAUUAAGUUUAGGUUUGGGGUUUAAAAUAAUUAUGGUGAGACAGACUAGCUAUAUUAUGAGACUGAAUUCACUGCAUAAUUGAACUUUAUGACCUGAUUAUAUUUUAACUGUUUGCCUAUGAUAAUCUGUUUGUGGCUUGUGUUGCGCUGAUAAUCUAAAUUAUCAUUGCAUUGUAUGGGGUAAUAAAACAUGAUGAUAGAGCUUCAGUUAAGCAGGAAGCUAUGUAAACCUUUAAAGAUGCUAAAAAUGAAGGUCUUUCUGAAGUAUUCCAUGCUCCUUAGGACCCUUCUCCAGGCAAGUAGCUGUCAAUAACUGAUGACCAAAAAAGUCAAGCUGUGUGAAACUUCUGUGAUCAUCAUUCCAGGAUGUGUAAGACCACUAGAAUCCUUAUGCCUGGAAACUUCUCUGAGCAAACGUCCUUCCCAAUUAUCUGUAACUUCAGUGUAUCUACAAGAGCUUGCCAUGCUUAUUGUGUCUGGUGUAUUGUAUCCUGGUUGCAUAGCACACACUUCACCGUUGUCAAUUAUUGAUUGUUAAAGAUGAUUUCCUUUAAAGGAAAGAGAAAACUGAAUCGCAGCAUCCUUCCUUCCUGUCCAUACAAUGAAUUGCUGAGCAUUUUGGAAGUUGCAACAAGUGUGUAACAGGCAUGAUAUUUGUAGAACUGUUGGUUUCUGACCUGUGAUAAAAACACAAAUUUGAAUGAUGUAGUUUGGCUUCUGUUUGCUUUGAAAUAUGCACAGUUGUGGUUUGUGGUUAAUUUGUAAAAUUGUACUAACUUUGAGAACAUAAUGAUUUUGAAAGAAGCAUUAAAUGUUUUUUCCCCCAAUGGAAGGGUAUCACAGAAUGAUAUAAGGUUAUUAGUAUAAUUUGGCAUUUGUUAUGCAAGUUGUGAACACCAGCUAUUAAAAUAUAUUUUAGUAGAAAUGCUUUAAUUCAUGUUGUUUUCCUCUACACUGUGAAUCUUAAGCCUUGGUGGACCAGAGACACAUUGUGAUGUCCAAAGGACUAACCUAUGCAAAUGAGUUCACAUCUUAUAUUGAUAUCACAAUAAACAUGUGAUAAGGCAUUAUUUCUCCUCAUAAUGUACAGCAGUAUUGAAAUAACAAAGGAAGCCCAGCCUCCCAUAUAUUACACUGUAGUCCCUCACAAUCCCUUCAAGGCUACCGAAAUCAUUAGCAUUUAUGUAAAUCAGACUGAUAUCAACUAAAGCGACUUGAAUGAUUCUGGACAGAAAAUGAUGGACAAGCAUCUCGACUGGAUUUCAUAGAACUAUGUUCUCACAUACUCUCUGUUCAGGGUCUUGGUAUUCUAUGUCUUCUAUCUGUAUUUGUAAAGCCUUAUGAUGAAUUGAUUUCCUAUCAACACACUCAGUUUGCUUAAAUAAAUUCAGGAUGUAACACAAUGGUUCUACAUCUUUGCUGUCACGUGGUUCCUAGACCAGGCCAUUGGAUGCUUGCAGCACAGUGGGCAUUCCUACUGUUGGCUCACAUGCAGGCAUAGCAAAGGCUCAUGAAGACAUAGUGUAUUUAUUUUUAAGUGCUAUGGAGAAUGUGUUUUUCCCCAUGAAACUAACACACAUUUAAGAAAUAAUUAUAUACUUUUUAAUCCCACAAUCUUUCUGAUGUUUAUACCCAUGUAUUGCUGGGACACAUCCUCGUAGCUAACUUUUUUUCAAAACUGAAGUCUUCCCUGGCCUGGUGUUAGUUUUCUUGUAUUUGAAAGAUGAAAGUAGCAACAGAAGCAACUUGGAGGAAGGAAAGGGCACGGAUUGAUACUCUGAUCUUUCAUCAAAGAAUGUCUAUCAUAGAACAUAAUUGCUUCUUUUCUCAUGUUUCUGUAUCACAGAACGUAAUUGCUUCUUUUCUCAUGGUUUUCUCAUAACUGAAAAGACAGGUAGUUCCAAUUUUUACCCUCAUCUACACUUCAAUAAAUUGGAUCUUGGCUUUA